rnacentral:rRNA from 1 species
AACGAACGCUGGCGGCAUGCCUAACACAUGCAAGUCGAACGAACCCUGCGGGGUUGGUGGCGCACGGGUGCGUAACGCGUGGGAAUCUGCCCUUUGCUUCGGAAUAACUCAGGGAAACAUGUGCUAAUACCGGAUGAUGUCUUCGGACCAAAGAUUUAUCGAGAAAGGAUGAGCCCGCGUAGGAUUAGGUAGUUGGUGGGGUAAAGGCCUACCAAGCCUACGAUCCUUAACUGGUCUGAGAGGAUGAUCAGCCACACUGGGACUGAGACACGGCCCAGACUCCUACGGGAGGGGGCAGUGGGUGAUAUUGGACAAUGGGCGCAAGCCUGAUCCAGCAAUGCCGCGUGAGUGAUGAAGGCCCUCGGGUAGUAAAGCUCUUUUACCAGGGAUGAUAAUGACAGUACCUGGAGAAUAAGCACCGGCUAACUCCGUG